CGCACAUUGCGCCCUUUGGUAUUCCUUAGGGCAUGCCUGUUCGAGCGUCAUUUAAACCUUCAAGCUCAGCUUGGUGAUGGGUGACUGUCCCCCCCCUCGCGGGGGGACUCGCCUCAAAAACAUUGGCGGCCGGUACAUUGGCUUCGAGCGCAGCAGAAACGCGGUCUCGAGUCCUGUGGAUCGGCUCCCAUAAGCCUCUUCUUUUAUUUUGACCUCGGAUCAGGUAGGGAUACCCGCUGAACUUAA
rnacentral:misc_RNA from 1 species